rnacentral:lncRNA from 1 species
AUCUGAUCCAAAGGGUGGGUGUGCCGAAGCUGUGAGAUAUGGUAAGCAUGUAGAGGUGUUUCUACCGAAGCUACGGUUCUUUGAUUGUGGUGAGGCCUCAGUGGAAUUUUUGAAGGAGUUGGAGGAAACUAUGGGAGGUGUUGGUGAGGUUAGUUGUGAGGAUCAUGUGAGGCUAAAAGUUAAAUGUUAUGAUGUAGGUGAGAGGUUGCCGGCGAGCCUCCAAGAGCUGAACGAGUGUCUAGGCUUGAGCGGGCGCACGGAGAUUCUAGCUAC